rnacentral:rRNA from 1 species
UGGGGAAUAUUGCGCAAUGGGGGAAACCCUGACGCAGCAACGCCGCGUGAAGGAUGAAGGCCCUCGGGUUGUAAACUUCUUUGAUUGGGGAAGAAAAAAAUGACGGUACCCAAAAAACAAGCCACGGCUAACUACGUGCCAGCAGCCGCGGUAAUACGUAGGUGGCAAGCGUUAUCCGGAAUUACUGGGUGUAAAGGGCGUGUAGGCGGGACGUUAAGUCAGAUGUGAAAUUCCGAAGCUCAACUUCGGCGCUGCAUCUGAAACUAAUGUUCUUGAGUGAUGGAGAGGAAAGUGGAAUUCCUAGUGUAGCGGUGAAAUGCGUAGAUAUUAGGAGGAACACCAGUGGCGAAGGCGACUUUCUGGACAUUAACUGACGCUGAGGCGCGAAAGCGUGGGGAGCAAACA